rnacentral:rRNA from 1 species
UUUAUGGAGAGUUUGAUCCUGGCUCAGGAUGAACGCUGGCGGCGUGCCUAAUACAUGCAAGUCGAGCGAACGGACGAGAAGCUUGCUUCUCUGAUGUUAGCGGCGGACGGGUGAGUAACACGUGGAUAACCUACCUAUAAGACUGGGAUAACUUCGGGAAACCGGAGCUAAUACCGGAUAAUAUUUUGAACCGCAUGGUUCAAAAGUGAAAGACGGUCUUGCUGUCACUUAUAGAUGGAUCCGCGCUGCAUUAGCUAGUUGGUAAGGUAACGGCUUACCAAGGCAACGAUGCAUAGCCGACCUGAGAGGGUGAUCGGCCACACUGGAACUGAGACACGGUCCAGACUCCUACGGGAGGCAGCAGUAGGGAAUCUUCCGCAAUGGGCGAAAGCCUGACGGAGCAACGCCGCGUGAGUGAUGAAGGUCUUCGGAUCGUAAAACUCUGUUAUUAGGGAAGAACAUAUGUGUAAGUAACUGUGCACAUCUUGACGGUACCUAAUCAGAAAGCCACGGCUAACUACGUGCCAGCAGCCGCGGUAAUACGUAGGUGGCAAGCGUUAUCCGGAAUUAUUGGGCGUAAAGCGCGCGUAGGCGGUUUUUUAAGUCUGAUGUGAAAGCCCACGGCUCAACCGUGGAGGGUCAUUGGAAACUGGAAAACUUGAGUGCAGAAGAGGAAAGUGGAAUUCCAUGUGUAGCGGUGAAAUGCGCAGAGAUAUGGAGGAACACCAGUGGCGAAGGCGACUUUCUGGUCUGUAACUGACGCUGAUGUGCGAAAGCGUGGGGAUCAAACAGGAUUAGAUACCCUGGUAGUCCACGCCGUAAACGAUGAGUGCUAAGUGUUAGGGGGUCUCCGCCCCUUAGUGCUGCAGCUAACGCAUUAAGCACUCCGCCUGGGGAGUACGACCGCAAGGUUGAAACUCAAAGGAAUUGACGGGGACCCGCACAAGCGGUGGAGCAUGUGGUUUAAUUCGAAGCAACGCGAAGAACCUUACCAAAUCUUGACAUCCUUUGACAACUCUAGAGAUAGAGCCUUCCCCUUCGGGGGACAAAGUGACAGGUGGUGCAUGGUUGUCGUCAGCUCGUGUCGUGAGAUGUUGGGUUAAGUCCCGCAACGAGCGCAACCCUUAAGCUUAGUUGCCAUCAUUAAGUUGGGCACUCUAAGUUGACUGCCGGUGACAAACCGGAGGAAGGUGGGGAUGACGUCAAAUCAUCAUGCCCCUUAUGAUUUGGGCUACACACGUGCUACAAUGGACAAUACAAAGGGCAGCGAAACCGCGAGGUCAAGCAAAUCCCAUAAAGUUGUUCUCAGUUCGGAUUGUAGUCUGCAACUCGACUACAUGAAGCUGGAAUCGCUAGUAAUCGUAGAUCAGCAUGCUACGGUGAAUACGUUCCCGGGUCUUGUACACACCGCCCGUCACACCACGAGAGUUUGUAACACCCGAAGCCGGUGGAGUAACCUUUUAGGAGCUAGCCGUCGAAGGUGGGACAAAUGAUUGGGGUGAAGUCGUAACAAGGUAGCCGUAUCGGAAGGUGCGGCUGGAUCACCUCCUUUCU